ACUCUAGUAUUUACCUUAGUCCACAUGUGUUGAGGUGGAUUGGGGUGUAAAUUAGUUUAAGUUACACCCUAAUCCACCUUAAUAUAUGUGGAUUAAAGUCUAUACUAGA
rnacentral:pre_miRNA from 1 species